UACAGAGGUCCCAAGCGUUGUUCGGAUUCAUUGGGCGCAAAGGGUGCGUAGGCGGCGCGGUAAGUCGGGUGUGAAAUCUCGGAGCUUAACUCCGAAACUGCAUUCGAUACUGCCGUGCUUGAGGACUGGAGAGGAGACUGGAAUUUACGGUGUAGCGGUGAAAUGCGUAGAUAUCGUAAGGAAGACCAGUGGCGAAGGCGGGUCUCUGGACAGUUCCUGACGCUGAGGCACGAAGGUCAGGGGAGCAAACGGG
rnacentral:rRNA from 1 species